GAAGUUUUUGUAUACUGGACUUCUUUUCAAACUUUUCAAUACUGUGGAAGCCACAGUGUUCUCUUGAUAUAAUUGUGCCGUUAAAAAAAUGCAGCCAGAACUCAUAUCUGGGUAAAUUCUAAUUCCUAGGUAUAAUUAGUACAUAUUCAGAGUUGAUAGCUGUACAUGCAAGUACUAGUUAGUUUCAGUAACAAUCUUUUAUAAAAGGGACUGAGAGAUUUAUAAACCAUUUUCUCAUUAUCUUUUUCUUUUACU